rnacentral:tRNA from 1 species
UGCCUCGUAGUUCAGUGGUAGAACGCCCGCCUGUUAAGCGGACUGUCGCUGGUUCGAUCCCAGCCGAGGCAGCCA